UCAAUGAAGGUCGAAUCGUUUCUUUUUUUAAAAAUUGGGUCCGAUCUACCUUUGCCAAACAACUUCAGGGGAAAGAAAAAAAGGAAUAUGAUUCGACGUUGCUUUUUUUUGGAAC
rnacentral:ribozyme from 1 species